AUGGCACCAUAACACAUGGCAUAAGAGAACAGUGUGAAAGAUCUGUAAAAUUAGAACAUGCCUGCAGGCCUAUAGUACAGCAGUAAGAAAGGUAUAUUGACCUAGCAGGUUAUACAUUAAAAACAAAAAAAUAAAAAUAAACACAGGGAAAUAAGAUGAUCUGCUGACCACGAUCUCUGCCAACACAACUGAAAUAAGAAAAGUGAAAGUAUCGAACUGUGCAGGGGUCU